CGUUUCAAAAAAAAAAAUCGUUGGUACUGUUUUUGUCAAAAUGUUGCCACGGCUCUACUUUAUACCCGGUACUCAGUCAGUAUAUGUAUAUGUGAGCUUAUGAUUUAUGCAACUUGAUCAUGAUUAACUUGUAACUGUCAUCAUGAGCCAGCCACGCUUUGCAACGCUUUUUUCGCUUUCAGAGUUUGGUUUCUGUUGUUUUUCAUCACUUUUCCAUGUCCUGCGCUGCUCUGGUGAUUUUCUCACUUUAAAGUAGUUGGCGGUCGCGAACUUUUUUUUAACUGGGCGCCCUACGGUGGACUCAGCUGUUUGAGUGUUGCCGGAUUGGAUUGAUACUGCAUCCACGAUCGCAUGCAUCCCGCCAGCAGCUGGUACAUUAUUUAUUUACCUGUUCUUUUUACGACGUACGACCUAUGUGCUUCGCAUGUGCAUGCAUUACCGACAUCGUCUUCCCUCAUGCACGAUGCUUUACCUCAUCGGCUUUGGGAUUUUCUGACGAUCCCAGGAAGCUGUCGCACGCCUAGAUCAGACCACAAAUAAUGAAGAAAUCAAAAUAUGUUUGCAUCAUGAAAUUUGCCAAAAAUCGGACUCAUUUUCAUAGGCUGUUCGACAGUAUGGAUCCUCUCGAUCCUGACAGAGUUGGUCCUUCAACAAUCGUCCCAUAAAUAGUCGAGAUAUAGCCUUUUGAAGAUUUCGAUUUUGCAUUUCAUUAGAGUACUGGUUUUUUCUGAACGCCAUUUCUUUGCUAUGCUGCAGCCGAUCUGAGUGCGGCAUGUCUUUUCGUGAUCGGGAGGGUCCUGCCAAUCGACUGCCAUCGGAAAAAGGGACAUCCCUUUUUUCACGAUUUUCGCAAAAACGAAACGAAGAUUUCGUCGUUUUUUAUGAGGGCGCUGGACUCGGACCGAUCCAGCAAAGGUUCUGCCUUACCAAAUAAGGUGCCCGAGGACUAUGAGAAAAUGUUCGAGACGAUCGUGAAGGUCACCAAGGAAAUGGUUGACUUUCGUAAGUAGUAUACGUGAUGCUGUAUCCCACUCUGGCCAUUGCUUACCUGCAAAUGGUGUGGAGCGGAAAGUAGCAGAGGGCUAUAUCCUUCGUGGGUGGGAACAAACACGAGCUGGACGAUUCGUACAAGAGGCGCAUCGAAAAGCUGAAGCUGAUCCGCAAGCCACUGGACGUGCCACAAAGAGCCCUGGAACAGCUAUCUGGUGCGGACAAAGUGAAGUUCUGCAUGUUCAGAAGCACCUUCAACCUAUUCAAGGUACCCCAAUCGCAGCUUUGGUCGAAUGGGCACCUGAAUCGGCUUUUGGUCCACUUCGAAAUCCUAACUUACACUGACGACAGGAUGCCCCAGGAGCGGAUUCUCUGCUGUCUAAAAAUAAAAUUGUUUUGUUUACAGAAAAAAACGAGGAAAUACGAAUAUUCCAGUCUAUAAAACUCGA